AGCUCCAAUGGCGUAUAUUAAUGUUGUUGCAGUUAAAAAGCUCGUAGUUGGAUUCCUGGCACGGGGUAGCCGGUCCGCCUGUAACAGGGUGCGUACUGUGCGACCUCGGCCAUUUUUGGAGAGAGCGGUCCUGGCAUUCAGUUGUCGGGGUCGGGAUCUCCGACGUUUACUGUGAAAAAAUCAGAGUGUUCAACGCAGGCUUACGCCUUGAAUACAUUAGCAUGGAAUAAUGAGAUAGGACUUUGGCGGUCUAUUUUGUUGGUUUGCACGCCGAAGUAAUGAUUAACAGGGACGGUUGGGGUUCUUCGUAUUCAAUUGUCAGAGGUGAAAUUCUUGGAUUUAUGGAAGACGAACUGCUGCGAAAGCGUCGAACAAGGACGUUCUCAUUAAUCAAGAACGA
rnacentral:rRNA from 1 species